rnacentral:rRNA from 1 species
AGGACUAACGCUGGCGGCGUGCCUAACACAUGCAAGUCGAACGAGGGGUAGCAAUACCCCUAGUGGCAGACGGGUGAGUAACACGUAGUCAACCUACCUCUUAAUGGGGGAUAACUAGCCGAAAGGUUAGCUAAUACCGCAUACGAUCGUCGAGUGGCAUCACACGACGAUGAAAGGAGCAAUCCGUUGAGAGAGGGGACUGCGUCCCAUUAGUUAGUUGGUGGGGUAAUGGCCUACCAAGACUCCGAUGGGUAGCUGGCUUGAGAGAGCGACCAGCCACACUGGAACUGAGACACGGUCCAGACUCCUACGGAGGCAGCAGUGAGGAAUUUUCCGCAAUGGGGGAAACCCUGACGGAGCGACGCCGCGUGUGGGAAGAAGGCCUUCGGGUCGUAAACCACUGUCGAGGGGGACGAUAUUGACGGUACCCCUGGAGGAAGCCCCGGCUAACUACGUGCCAGCAGCCGC